CGCAAUAUUGCUUUAGGCAAUAUUAGAGAAGGGUAUUGCUGCAAACCUACCACUCGUGAGCGUAUGUAAAGGGUGGAGGAUAUAUGAAUCAUUUCCGACUUAAACUAAUUACACUACUGAUUUGUUGAUGUCGAGCACUUUUUAAGCCAAUCAACAACUUGUCCAUAAUUUUGUACUGCAGCCAAAGGAUUUCACAAUACCUCCGACAGGGGGUUGUUUUGUUGCGGCUCUAAGAGCAACACCACCAAGGAACACUCAUCCAGUGCUGUGCCUUAUUCCUCACUACUGCAUUCAGGAGACGCCCAGAGUACUGCUUUGCUGCAUAUUAAAUGCCUUGAGGUUUACUGCCAUCACUAUUUGUUGCUGUUUGUUUCUGUUUGUUUUGGCCAUCUUGCUCCUGUGCUCCUUCAAUUAUCUCACCAUGGAGAAUAAAGACACUCCAAACUUG